AGAGUUUGAUCCUGGCUCAGAUUGAACGCUGGCGGCAUGCCUUACACAUGCAAGUCGAACGCGAAAGCGGGGCAACCCGCAAGUAGAGUGGCGAACGGGUGAGUAAUACAUCGGAACGUAUCCAGUAGCGGGGGAUAACCUGUCGAAAGAUAGGCUAAUACCGCAUACGAUCUACGGAUGAAAGCGGGGGACCGCAAGGCCUCGCACUAUUGGAGCGGCCGAUGUCGGAUUAGCUAGUUGGUGGGGUAAAAGCCUACCAAGGCGACGAUCCGUAGCUGGUCUGAGAGGACGAUCAGCCACACUGGAACUGAGACGCGGUCCAGACUCCUACGGGAGGCAGCAGUGGGGAAUUUUGGACAAUGGGCGAAAGCCUGAUCCAGCCAUGCCGCGUGAGUGAAGAAGGCCUUCGGGUUGUAAAGCUCUUUCGGUGAAGACGAAACGGUUCAUGCCAAUACCAUGGACUAAUGACGGUACUCACAGAAGAAGCACCGGCUAACUACGUGCCAGCAGCCGCGGUAAUACGUAGGGUGCAGGCGUUAAUCGGAAUUACUGGGCGUAAAGCGUGCGCAGGCGGUUUGUUAAGACAGGUGUGAAAUCCCCGGGCUUAACCUGGGAAUUGCGCUUGUAACUGGCAGGCUAGAGUGUGGCAGAGGGGGGUAGAAUUCCACGUGUAGCAGUGAAAUGCGUAGAUAUGUGGAGGAACACCGAUGGCGAAGGCAGCCCCCUGGGUUAACACUGACGCUCAUGCACGAAAGCGUGGGGAGCAAACAGGAUUAGAUACCCUGGUAGUCCACGCCCUAAACUAUGUCAACUAGUUGUCGGGGAAGAAAUUCCUUGGUAACGCAGCUAACGCGUGAAGUUGACCGCCUGGGGAGUACGGCCGCAAGGUUAAAACUCAAAGGAAUUGACGGGGACCCGCACAAGCGGUGGAUUAUGUGGAUUAAUUCGAUGCAACGCGAAAAACCUUACCUACCCUUGACAUGCCAGGAAGUCCGCAGAGAUGUGGAUGUGCCCGAAAAGGGAACCUGGACACAGGUGCUGCAUGGCUGUCGUCAGCUCGUGUCGUGAGAUGUUGGGUUAAGUCCCGCAACGAGCGCAACCCUUGCCAUUAGUUGCUACAUUCAGUUGGGCACUCUAAUGGGACCGCCGGUGACAAACCGGAGGAAGGUGGGGAUGACGUCAAGUCCUCAUGGCCCUUAUGGGUAGGGCUUCACACGUAAUACAAUGGUCGGUACAGAGGGUUGCCAACCCGCGAGGGGGAGCUAAUCCCAGAAAGCCGAUCGUAGUCCGGAUUGUAGUCUGCAACUCGACUGCAUGAAGCCGGAAUCGCUAGUAAUCGCGGAUCAGCAUGUCGCGGUGAAUACGUUCCCGGGUCUUGUACACACCGCCCGUCACACCAUGGGAGUGGGUUCCACCAGAAGUAGGUAGCCUAACCGCAAGGAGGGCGCUUACCACGGUGAGAUUCAUGACUGGGGUGAAGUCGUAACAAGGUA
rnacentral:rRNA from 1 species